rnacentral:rRNA from 1 species
UACGAAGGGGGCUAGCGUUGCUCGGAAUUACUGGGCGUAAAGCGCACGUAGGCGGAUAUUUAAGUCGGUGGUGAAAUCCUGGAGCUCAACUCCAGAACUGCCUCCGAUACUGAAUGUCUUCGAGUCCGGGAGAGGUGAGUGGAACUGCGAGUGUAGAGGUGAAAUUCGUAGAUAUUCGCAAGAACACCAGCGGCGAAGGCGGCCUUCUGGACGGUGACUGACGCUGAGACGCGAAAGCGUGGGGAGCAAACAGG